rnacentral:rRNA from 1 species
GAUGAACGCUGGCGGCGUGCCUAAUACAUGCAAGUCGAGCGAACAGACGAGGAGCUUGCUCCUCUGACGUUAGCGGCGGACGGGUGAGUAACACGUGGAUAGCCUACCUAUAAGACUGGGUUAACUUCGGGAAACCGGAGCUAAUACCGGAUAAUAUAUUGAACCGCAUGGUUCAAUAGUGAAAGACGGUUUUGCUGUCACUUAUAGAUGGAUCCGCGCCGCAUUAGCUAGUUGGUAAGGUAACGGCUUACCAAGGCAACGAUGCGUAGCCGACCUGAGAGGGUGAUCGGCCACACUGGAACUGAGACACGGUCCAGACUCCUACGGGAGGCAGCAGUAGGGAAUCUUCCGCAAUGGGCGAAAGCCUGACGGAGCAACGCCGCGUGAGUGAUGAAGGUCUUCGGAUCGUAAAACUCUGUUAUUAGGGAAGAACAAAUGUGUAAGUAACUAUGCACGUCUUGACGGUACCUAAUCAGAAAGCCACGGCUAACUACGUG